AAUAUUGGUCAAUGGCCGCAGGGCUGAACCAGCCAAGUCGCGUGAGGGAUGACGGUCCUAUGGAUUGUAAACCUCUUUUGUCAGGGAGCAAAGGACGCCACGUGUGGCGUUUUGCGAGUACCUGAAGAAAAAGCAUCGGCUAACUCCGUGCCAGCAGCCGCGGUAAUACGGAGGAUGCGAGCGUUAUCCGGAUUUAUUGGGUUUAAAGGGUGCGCAGGCGGAAUGUCAAGUCAGCGGUAAAAUUUCGGGGCUCAACCCCGUCGUGCCGUUGAAACUGGCGUUCUUGAGUGAGCGAGAAGUAUGCGGAAUGCGUGGUGUAGCGGUGAAAUGCAUAGAUAUCACGCAGAACUCCGAUUGCGAAGGCAGCAUACCGGCGCUCAACUGACGCUCAUGCACGAAAGCGUGGGUAUCGAACAGGAUUAGAUACCCUGGUAGUCCACGCAGUAAACGAUGAAUACUAACUGUCCGGGCCGAUUGAGGUCUGG
rnacentral:rRNA from 1 species